ACCGGCUGUUCUUCAAACCCAGAAAAUAUUCUAAGUGUCCAGAAAAUAUUAUUUUGGAAAAUGUCAGGCCUUAUAUCUCGGUUAUCUUUAAUGUGUUUUGUGUUUAUAAAGGUUGAUAUGUGUAGCUUGUUAUGUGGUAUUUAACCUCCAAAAAGAAUCAGGUCCAUAUAUAUUACGGAUUAAGAGUUAUUUAAGGUCAAAGUGGGUUGACCGGCAUUGACCUGAAAAAUCUGGGCAGCCCAGAAUUUUCUAAGUGUUAGUUUUUCUGACAAGGUUUGACCAUACUUUAGAUGCUUGAUUUCUUAUUGUUAUGAUGAUGUUAAGUGUUAGAGUUGUAGUCCUACAUGUUUUCUACACACUGGAAUUGAUAGAUCACAUAAACGUUACACGAUCAUCAAGUUAUAGAGGUCCAAAGUAGGCACCUCGAACUGUUCUUCGUGAAGAAUAGCUUUGGUAGCUACUUUGAUGGCUGAUUUAUCCCAGAUCUGAUGUUUGUUUAGAGGUUAUUAUUAUUGUAUCUUGUAGUCUUGUAUUUCCUCUACAAGACUCAAUUUAUAGAUUGUCCAAAUUCGUUACGAUGAGAGAGUUAUUCACGGUCAAAGUAGGCCACUCGGUUCUGCCUUAUGAAGAUCUGGGUAGGCUCAAGAACACCUAUAGCNNN
rnacentral:lncRNA from 1 species